rnacentral:lncRNA from 1 species
UCGAUUUCUCGCAAUACAGAGGUUCGGGAUGCUUUGAAAUCUCUCAGCUCCCCUCCCCCUCGCAGCCCCCCCCCCCCCCCUCCCCCCCUUCUCCUCCGGCCUCCUCCCUCGCUCUGGAUCUUGUCUCCGCAUUUGCAUCUCAACUUUUUAAAAUAUAACACGUAUACUUUACGUAUAGGCUACGUGGAUGCUCCUCGACCGCUCCUAUAUAUCCUUACGCCGGGCUCGGCCCCCCUCUCCUCCAACGUCGGCUCCGGCCGUGGGGGCAGAAGCGAAGAUCCUCGUCCGCUCCGGGGGAUGCAGAGCCGUCUCCGUUCCUCCUUUGCUGUGGCGCUGAGGAUGCCAUUGACUCCAGUGCAGAGAGUGGCUUCCACUGCUGUGAUGCUCCACUUGUUUCCUGGCCAGCCAAAAGCAAUGCUUGAAUCCUGGUGUGGAAGUCCAUUCAGAAUUGCCUGGUGGAGAACACAAAGCUGGAAUCGAUGGAAGAAGAAGAAGGAAAGAAAGGAAACCAAAGUCUCCAAACUCAGGAGAUCUUUUAAUUGCUUACGAAUGUCUCCAUCUCAAAAAUUAUCCAAUUGAUGUUGUCGUGCUUUUUCUUUUUUUUUUCUCUUGACAGCCUGAAAUCUAAUUACUAGGCAAAUUUAAUGAUAAUGAAAUGAAGGCACUUUAGCAGAAAGCAACGGGGCCUUGUUAAUAUUUUCUCUGUCUCUGUCUUGUUCGUAUUAUUUAAGUCUAUUUAUUUUCACCACCUUCUUUCUUGCGGUAUAAAAGAAUUGCCAAAAAUAAAACUUGGAUUGCUGAAAAUGUUUGUGGUGGC